GUGGGGAAUAUUGCGCAAUGGGGGAAACCCUGACGCAGCGACGCCGUGUGAGGGAAGAAGGCUUUCGGGUCGUAAACCUCUGUCAGAAAGGAAGAACCUCCCAAGUCCGAAUAGGGCUUGGGAUUGACGGUACUUUCAAAGGAAGCACCGGCUAACUCCGUGCCAGCAGCCGCGGUAAUACGGAGGGUGCAAGCGUUAAUCGGAAUCACUGGGCGUAAAGCGCGCGUAGGCCGCUUUGUAAGUCGGACGUGAAAGCCCUCGGCUCAACCGGGGAACUGCGUUCGAUACUGCGAGGCUUGAGUCCUGGAGAGGGUGGCGGAAUUCCGGGUGUAGGAGUGAAAUCCGUAGAUAUCUGGAGGAACAUCAGUGGCGAAGGCGGCCACCUGGACCGGUAUUGACGCUGAGGUGCGAAAGCGUGGGGAGCAAACAAGAUUAGAAACCCCUGUAGUCC
rnacentral:rRNA from 1 species